UUGGAUUAGAAAUGAGAGUUGGGAUAUUGAAUCGGAUGGCGCAUCAAACUUAUUGUACGGUAAAUUUUAUUAUAGAGAAUUAUAUCAUGAACCCAUGGUGAUGGCGUAUCAAACCUAAACCCUUUUUUUUUUUUUUUUGUGAACCCAGCAAUGAAAGAUCCACUUAGAUCUAACGACUCUACUUCCAUAAGACAAAGGAACCUUAAAAGCCCGUCCAAAAAUACCGGGAGAAAAAAAACCCAACACAAAACUAGGGAGAACCAACACCCGUCAUAAAACUAGGAGAAACGCUCUCUACAACAUGGAGAGAGAUGCCCAGUUUAUUAGCCGAAUGAGUUAAUUCCAAGAGAGUGGUUGCAUAGAAAAUAGGACAACGAAGAAGGGAGAAGAGUGGUUGAUAUAAUCUUCCUACCAACAAGUGAAGUCAAAAAAUGGUAAAAUCACAUAUGAUGGGUAUCAAGAGAUCAUGGUUGGAAUAGUCUCUUCAAAAAGGACUAGCUAAAAUAACCUUGUAGGAGUUUACCAACACUUGGUUAAAAAUAAGGGUCAUGCUAGGGAGACCAACUUUAGAUACCAACUUGUGUACCAACUCUCUAAUAGAGGUGGAACCCACCAAUACAAUGGGUCCCAGACUCUAUUAGAGAGUUGGUACACAAGUUAGUAUCUAAAGUUGGUCUCCCUAGCAUUUUCCUAAAAAUAAUUAGCUUCUUAUAUUUAAUGGAAUGACCGGAUUUAAUUCAGAAGUGACACUUGAUUAUGUUUAGCUCUUCGGAAAUGUACUAAUACUAAUAUUGGUCAUUAUAUUUAAGGAAAUGGAAUGACCGGAUUUUUUUCAUUUUUGGAUUUUAUUUAUUUAUUUAAGAAGGACUAGAGGCUGCACUUCUGCACUGGGUUCCAGUAUUUCUUGAUGUUUGUAUUCUGGGUCCUUGUUGAAUGAAAGCUUCUUUUUUUAUUUUUUUAAAAUAGAAAAUAAGAUAAAAACGGGUUUAUUAGGAAAAACCCACACGUGUUUUUAUUUUUGACGUUGCCCCAUAACGAGAUGAUGGGUCAGCCAAUAUUUAUUAUUUCAAUUAGUCAAUUUUUUUGUGUUCCUAUUUUACCCCCUACAACGUUUUUUUGUGCUAACCCAUUAUUAUUUCAUAAUUUAAUGCUAUUUAUGGGAAUAAAAACUAAGGUAAAUAAUUAUUGAAUUUAAUGUAGCCUAUUGACAAUUGUUCUAUGGAUUUGGAUCCUUUGUUUUGAUUUACUUUGCCAUAAUCUAGUUUACUUUUGUUCUCCACAUGGCACCUUAUUAAAAUUUACAUCUUUUCUUUCUCCAAUCUUAGAACACAAAAACGUUCUUACUAAGAAGAGUAUAAACAUAUCGAGUCGAAUGAGUAACUAGCUCCAAGGGCAUAGGAAAUUAAAUCAUGUUCACCCAAAUCAUAGAAAACCUAGAGUGAGAAAGAACAUAAGUCAUGUAAAGAAAAUAUAGAAGUAGCAAACUCUACGUAUUCAAAGAAAAAAAAAACUGGGAAUUUAUUCCUACAAAUGAUGAAGAGAGACAAUUCCACUUUUUAUUUGCGAGGCUUUGUUAACUUAUUAUUUUCACCGAAUUUUUUAUUUUAUUUUAUUUUCUAAUUCUUGAAAGGAAGAAGGACUAGACUUUAAAAUGCAGAAACCUUCCCAGGCUUGGAAGCCAAUCCAAAGCAUGCCAAUGUAACUUGAAUGAAAUUUCAAGCGAGUCAUUGACACUCCAGCAACAAUAUGUAUAAAACCAAAACUUAGGAAGAGACCAAAUCGCAGACACAAAAACUUGUAAAUUGGGUGACAAAAUUAAUUUAUUGGUCUACAAAUUACACUCAGAUUAUUGCCUGCAAAUUAUAAUUAUGGAGAAUGAAAACAAGAAGAGGUUGGCAGUUUUGGUGGGCUGCAAUUACCCAAACACCAGAAAUGAGCUGCAUGGUUGCAUAAAUGAUGUGGUGGCCAUGAGAGGCACACUUGUGAAUCGCUUCGGGUUUGAUCCAGGAAACAUUCAGCUGCUGACUGAUGCUGCAGCUGCAGGUUCUUCUUCCUCAGUCAUGCCCACAGGUGCAAAUAUUAAGAAGGCACUUGGUGCAAUGGUUGAUCAAGCUAAGCCAGGUGAUGUCUUGUAUUUUCACUAUAGUGGCCAUGGAACAAGGAUCCCUUCAUUGAAGCCAGGCAACCCCUUCAGGCAGGAUGAGGCUAUUGUGCCUUGUGAUUUCAAUCUCAUCACUGGUGGGUGCUUUUAAUCUAAUUGUUCAAUUGUUUAAUCUCUUGUAUACAUGUUAAUUUUAGUAAUUUAAUGUUCUAAUGAGUAAUUAUAGAGGUGAGAUUUCGCUUUAUACAUCCCACCUUUAUUAUAGAGAUGUGGUCUACAAUGUGGUGUCUUUUCCUGAUUCACAGUAAGACACUUAUGCAUUUUUGCUAUUGUUCAAUUAGUUAAACAUAUAACUAAUUACAACAUGCACGGAUAGCAAGUGUGAGUAUGAGACGAGUUGUAAACUUGGAAGUUGGUGAAAAUAACAUGGUUAAUUUAUUGGUAACUUUUAUGUGCAGAUGUGGAUUUCAGACAACUAGUAAACCGCUUGCCAAAGGGAGCAAGCUUUACAAUCCUGUCAGACUCAUGCCACAGUGGAGGGCUCAUUGACAAGGAGAAAGAGCAGAUUGGACCUUCUCAUGUCACUGAAAUUAGUAACACAUCCCCAUCAGUUUCCUCUAAGCCUAAGGGCAUUCCUUUUGAGUCCAUAUUACACCACCUCGCAUCAUUGACAGGCAUAAACACAUCUGACAUUGCAACCCACUUGUUAGAGUUGUUUGCAGCAGAUGCCAGCCUCAAGUUUCGUUUGCCUCCGUUCGAACUACUCAACAUGUUCGAGUCAUUGAACCCUGAUGAGGGAAUCUUACUAAGCGGGUGUCAAGCAAAUGAGACUUCUGCUGACAUGACGAACCCGGUCAUGACUAGAGGAAAGGCAUGUGGUGCUUUCAGCAAUGCAGUUCAAAUGCUGUUGAAGGAGCAUGAGGCUGACCUAAGCAAUCGACAAGUUGUGAUGCUUGCUAGACAAGUUUUGAGAGAACAAGGCUUUGAGCAGCACCCUUGUCUCUAUUGCAAUGAUGAGAAUGCUGAUGCAACUUUCUUAUGCGAAUCUCAUAUCAGCUCAAGUUUAUGAGAUAUUGGUUAUGCUAUGAUUUGUCUAAUAAGUAAUGUAAGACCAUAUCACUUGCUUAUUGUUUUCUUCGUGUAAAUAAAGAGGGCACUGAUAUUGCCACUUUCUUGUGGCAACCUCUCAGAGCUCAAGUUUAUUAGAAUCUGUCUAUUAUCUACUGUUUCUUUGUUCAGCUCAAGUGAGGCAUUACUGAAUUCUUUGGUUGAAUAAAUUCUUACUCAUCAGGCCUCCCGUGGGGGCCGUGGGGGAAAAUAUAGCAGUAAACCAUGAACCUUUUUAAGUUAUGCCAAGAUUGAAGACAUCUUUUCUUGAGAAGAACAUUCACAAGGUCCUUCUAUUAAAUAUUCAAGAAUAAAAAUAGCUAUACAAAGUAUUAAGGAAAAGGUAUCCAAGACAAACUAAAUUACACAAACGCAUGAAGCAAAAGCAAAAAUGAAAUGACAAAAAGAGAGGACAAAUUUUGUCUCUCUAAUUAUAAUGUUGUACACUCAAACCAUCUAUUUCACAUGCUUAAGGUUCUUCACUGCUCCACAGUGAAUUUGCUUAUCUCCUUUGGAAGUUCAAGAACUUGAUGCCGUAUGCAAAGACAAAGAAGAAGAGGAGGACCCAACCAACAUGCGCAACGACAACAGGGAUCAGAAAAUCGUAGUCAAAACCUAAAAACUCUUUAAGGAAUACAUCAACAGCUUUUUUUUCGUCAAUAUUAACUGUGAUCUCUGUCUUUAUGUCACCAACUUGGGAUGUGAAGAUACCAUAGAUUGUCCAAGCAACUGGAGAACCCCAGUAGUACCACCUCCACCAGAUGGGAAUUAGCUGCAAGAGUGAGAUUCAAUUGUUAUGAUUGCAGAAAUAAAAGAGAUGGUUUGGAACAAGAUUAAUCUUUGGUAUAAGAACAAAUGAGUUCCAAAUGACAUACCGGCCUGGGGAUGAGGAAACCAGAGAACAAGUUCCAGAAGCUCAAGAAGAAAGACAUAGUAAUUGCAGCAAUUUGAUGGCCAGGAGUUAGGGCAACCACCAUCAUCCCGUACAUUGAGAAGUAGGUAAAGCACAUGAAUAUGAAGUAGUAGAAGUACAGAAACUUCUCCACCUUAAAAUUGUACCCGAUCAUGAAAAAUAGAAGACAGGAAUAGACAAGGGUUUGGAUUGCAACAUAAAUUGUCUCAAUAGCCACCUACAACACCAAUAUAUGUAUCAAUAACAAAGAUACGAGAUUUAACAUUAUAUAAAAGCUAAGACGUAACCAAGCAUAACUUCCAAUAUCUUACCUGAGCAAAUGCAUACGGCAACUCUGAAUACAUUCCCGCUGCUCUUUCACGAUAGAAAACUGUUCGUUCAACCGCAACCACAGAUUGCACAGCAGAAGCAUUGCUAGCUCCAAGGAAAAGAAUAGCAGAAUAGGUAGCUCCCAAAAGAUUAAUCAGGUCUUGUUGCUUGUGUCUGUUCACAAGAUAAUAUACAGUUAAACAUCAUAUACGUGACACUUAUAUCAAAGAACAUGCAACUGAAUCACAAAAUUCAAAGAAUAAUAUGUUCGAAAGAUGUAGCUCAUAAUAAAGUUCUUAAACUUACAUAUCGUCUCCUUUGCCCCAGAAGAUAAUACCAAAUAAUACUCCGAUGCAAAUUGUCAUGAAAAACCUAAUGGCAUUGUACCGUGAGUUCCUCCAGUAUGACCAGUGUUGUUUCCAGAAGCAAGCCUUGCACUGAGUUAAAAAGCUUUGGGAGUAUUGGGUGGGGAAGUAAAGAUCCUUGGAGCCUGGUUCUGGUACGCUUAGUUCCUUGAUAAGUUCCUGAUUUCUCCUGAACAAGUGAAACAAAAAUGAAGAAAAAUUUAACACACAACGACAAGUGGGUAGCAAUGAUAGAAAUGAAGAAAAACGAAGUUACAUGCAACUUACCUAUAGAGAUCAGAGUUUGCAAAUAUUUCUGCAAAGUCCACGUCAUUUUGAGCUUCAAUUGAAGCAGAGCUGACCUCUAACAUCCAGGUAGCAGGAUUGUAACCUUCUUUGAUCUUGGAAACCCCUGGAAUAGCCUGCAUGGUGAAAUAGAUAAAGUCAAACUUUAACUAUAAAACCCUUGGUAGAGGACAAAUUUUUCUAUGAUUGAAACAUAUUUGAUCCUUAAUAUUAUUCAUGGUUCUAGAAACUUGCAUUGCAUAACAACAACAAAUUAAAGCCCACAAAUAAAUAUGUUGGAAGUGAGAUGUAUAUGGAUUAUGUGAGAUUGAUGUUUGAAAGAUUUUUUUGACUGAAGUUGGGUCCAACACUAAGUCAGGUUUAGACCAAAUAUUAACUUUUGGAUCCAUGGAUAAUGAUUUGAGCAUAAACUUACCUCAAAGUAUUCAACAAGCUUGUGAGACUGGCGACCUAGAGGACCUGCAUAAAUCACCUGUCCUCCUCUUUUCAUUAAGAAAAGCUGCAAUGCAAAACAAAACUAAUGUGAAAUAUAGUACUUAAAAUAAUGAACAAUGCUACAGAUUUAACAGAUUAAAAAUCAAAUCAUACCUCAUCAAAUGCUUCAAAAAUGUCAAUGCUAGGUUGGUGAAUUGUACAGACAACAGUUCGUCCUGUAUCCACAGUGUUUCUCACAGUACGCAUAACAAUUGCAGCUGCUCUAGCAUCAAGACCUGACGUUGGCUCAUCCAUAAAGAUGAUGGAAGGGUUGGCAACCAAUUCUACAGCAAUGGUGAGCCUCUUUCUCUGCUCAGUCGAAAGUCCAUCAACUCCUGGAAGUCCAACUAAAGCAUGCCUCAAUGGGUUAAGCUCCACCAAGUCCAUAACCUCAUCAACAAACAUCUAAAGAUAAGAAAAAGAAAAUCAGGGUCAGCAACAUCAUCCAUCUCAUCCUGUUCUUAAAUAUGGAGCAACAUGAUUGUCAUUUUGGCAAUUAACUUUGACUUCUUUUUAGGUGAAAAAGACUGCUGUAGACACAUUACAUUGUAUUAUCAGAAAUUAAAGGUUAGAACUGUUUUAGGUGUUAAAUAAAUAGCAUACCUUUCGUGUCUCCGUUUUGACAUCCUUGGAAAUACGUAGCCAGGCAGAGUAUAGGAGAGAUUCAUAGACAGUAACAAAUGGUGAAUGAAUGUCAUUCUGUUCACAGUAACCGCUGACCCGGGCAAAUGUGGCUUGGUUCUUUGGGAAACCAGAGAUCGUAAUACUUCCUUCAAUAUAGCCGCCGGUCUUUCUUCCAGCUAAGACAUCCAUCAAGGUGGUCUUUCCAGCACCACUGACACCAACUAAUGCAGUCAAAACACCCGGCCUAAAUGCACCACUAACAUCUCGUAGAAGUUGCAGUCGGGUCUCUUCAAUCCCUUGGCUCUUCAUUUCCUGGUGAGGACACAAAAAUUGUUACCAAGAAGAAUCAUAUUAAACCACGACAUUUGUUUUAUAUCAUAUGCUCUAGAAUUCAUGACUUAAAUCAGCGGAACUGUUCAUUAAAAAAAAUCAACCUAAACUAAAGCGAAUUAUGCAAAAUGCUUUAAAGUAAAAUAUUUCUACUAUAUAUGAAGAGAAGACACUGUCUCAUUUCCAAUUCCGUUUCUGUUUCUUUUGAUAAGUUCCCAUAUAGAUUCUUGAAAUUAAAACUUCAGGCCUCAGAGGAAAAAUGUGCAAGUUACUUACAGCAGGCAUAUCCACAUAGUAAUUCACAUGGUUGAAAGCAAGUGAGAGGGGCUGGAAGGGCAAAACCAUUCCUCGCUUGGCUUGGUUAUUUUCAGCACUAACAAUUCCUUGAGCAUUUCUGACUUGCAUAUCAAUACCUGCCAUUGAUCACUAUUUAUUAGGCGUAGAAAAUAAUUUGAUAGCAAAGCUAACGCUCAAGAUGUAAUUGUUAUGCAAUAGAAUUUGUCCUACCACAUGACAUAAAAGAAGAAUGAUGCAUAAUGUUAUCUAGCUAGCAUAAUGAUGCAAAAUGGAUUGUCAUCUUUUAGAAACUCCUAUUAUUUACCUUCUGGAUUGGAUUGUCGCCUCUUCCUACUUUCAGAGUUGUCGUCAUUCUCAAUUAGAGUUUUAGUUUCACUAAGAGCUGAAAUUGAGUAAAAAAGAAACAAAUAAUCAGUGCUUGAUCCAUUACCAUAACUAUACCUAAUGACAAAUGAAAAUUGUUCACUUACGAUCUAAGAAGGUCAGUGCUCCAAUGAAAAGAACAUUAAAAAGAAGAGAAAACCCGAAGAGCGCUCCAACACAAAUCCAAUACCAAGUCUCUGUAGUAAACAGGCCUCUUUCCCUCAGAAGUACCUUUCCAACUGUGUCAUUGCCGUUGACAGGCUGUGGAAAGGGAUUAAAAAGUUCAUUAAGCUCACACACACAUCAACUUAGAUUUAUGAAAAAAAAAACAAAUUAAUUUUAUUUUCAAGGUAUACUGAGAAUUCAAUUUAAGGCUUAAGAGAACUUACAGUGCUCCAUCUUUUAUCAAGAAAUUCAUUGAUAGCAAUUGCAUUUUGCCCAUACAUCAUAGGUGAAACAUAGUAGCCCCAUAUCAUCCAUGGCAAAAUGUCAUCUGCACAGCACAAUGGAAUAUUGUGAACAUUUGAAAAUAUAUGAAAGGAAUAACAGUCAUUAAUGCAAUUAUUCAGAAGUCUAUAUCCAGUGCUGGUAUCAAAUUGGUCAAUGCAGUAGCUUUGACAUUGAAAUGAGAAGGAUUUCUAACCUUUAGCAACAACAAAACCUCCUAGGACAAACACGAGUAGCAAUGUAAAAGAACCAAUUGUGCCCGAAACAACCUCACUUCUACCAAGGGCAGCAAUGAAACGGAAGAGGGAGAGAGCCAUCUGGUGUAUACCAAAGAAAGCCAAGAACUGUUUGAAGAACCUGAACAAAUUGGCAUAUGUCAGAUUAAAAAAUAACUAGGUUGCAAUAUCCUUCAUCAUUUAUUUAGUAUCAAAAAACUAAAGCUUCCAAGAAUAAUAUUGCUGAUAAAUUAAAGCUUACCUACUGGCAGCAGGUGCAAAUCCAAUGCUGUAGUAUGUCAAAAUUAUCCAUAUCCCAGAUUCCAUCAGUGAAAUGGGAAUUCUGGUUAGCCAAAUGGGCAAGCCAAAGGCCCAGCCAGGGAAGAACAAGGCAUCCCUUUGUUUGAAGAACACAGGAAGCCUGAAAACUGUCAUGGCAAGCUCUGCCAUUCCAUUAAACAUGACGUUAAUGAGACUGAAAAACAGUGCUCCCCAAAAUUUUGCCGAAUCUUGUGCUUGUCCAGCUUUCAUUUCUGUUCUUAAGAAUACCGUCAGAGCAAUUGUAGCCAUGAUUGUUAUCUGGGUAGUUUUGAAUAUGUAUACAAAAGAGUUACGCUUCAUCAGCAACCAUUCCCUCGCAAAGCAUGCCUUGAAGAUCUCCAUAUUGGAUAUUCCAUACUUUUCCUUCACCAAUGCAGCAGGAUGGACUGUUCGUUUAUCGUAUGGAACUCUUAGUUCUUCCACAAGCCGUUGGCCAACAUGGAAAGUGGUGAAAGCCCGAACGAAAUCAGAUACUGAGACAUAUCUAUAAGGUUGGUUCUUCUUAUACCAGUAUUGUUCUUGGUCCUUCUUUGAGGUCACUUCUUGCAAAAAGUCUGCAACACCCUUUCUGUCUGGGCAUCUGAACCCCAUAAAUUCAAAGAAUUCCAGAACAUUCUCACGUGGGCCUUGGUAGACAAUCUGACCCUCAGAAAGAAGGAUAAUGUCAUCAAAAAGAUCAUAAGACUCAGGUGCUGGUUGCAAGAGAGAGAUGACCAUAGACACAUCCAUGAUAUGAACCAUCUGUCUCAUGAACUUCACAAUCUGAAAGGUUGUGGAACUGUCCAGCCCUGUUGAUAUUUCAUCCAUGAAAAAUGCUUUCGCUGGUCCAACCAACAUUUCUCCUGCAUUCAGAGCAAACACAACAGAUUAUAAUACAAGGACAUAUGUUUGUACCUUAAUUAUCAUUCCUACCCUGCGACGCCAGACUAAAAAGGUUUGUAAGAAAUAAAAGGUCCAGUGGGCAUAAACCGCAUUGGUGCCAAAGCAUAUAGAAAAUCUAAGAAAUGUUUUAAAAGUAAACAAGCAAAAAUUACAUGACAGAGAGUAACAUACCAGUAGUUACACGUUUCUUCUGUCCACCAGAUAUGCCCCUUCUCAUGUCAUCACCCACCAUAAUAUCAGCACAGAUAUCAAGCCCAAGUAUCUAUCAAAAUAAUUAUAAGACGUUAGGCUUGUACAAUAAGAAUACGAAAACGAGGAGACAACCUUCUAACUGAAUCAACAAACCUUGAGAACAUAAUCUGUGAUCAAACUAGUUUCCUGGCCUGUCAUAGAUGUGGCUUUCAUGAAUGCAUCAAUCUCAGGAUCUGGUUUGAUGCCUGAAUCUUUCUCCCGUCUAGACAACUCUACAAGCAUAUCAUACCUGGUUCCAACUCCCAGGCAACGUCCAGAGAAAUCCAAUGUCUCACGAACUGUCAUCUCACCAUAAUGAAGAUCAUGCUGACUAAUAUAAGCAGAGGUUCUCCGAGGCACAAAUUCCUUGAAUUCAUGGCCACAGUAGGUCACUUUCCCAGUUUCCUGUUUAUAACCCCAACUUAUUAAUACAUGCUAAACAGUGUACAUGUAUGCACACUAAUACAAUUGACAUAAACUGAUAAAAAAAAACUAAGGAGAUGGAGAGGAUGACAAACCCUUAGAUCCUUAUCAAGCUUUCCAGCAAGUGCUUUUAGCAGUGUUGUUUUUCCUGACGAUGGAGGUCCAAGAAGCAGUGUCAUCCUGAGAAACAAAACAAUAAGCUCAUGAUGGAGUUCAGAAACAAAACUACCUCGCAUGAGUAGCAUACCAAAAAAAUAGUUUCCAUCUUCUUUCAGAGGAACAAAUGACUUUGUUUAUGAUAACUGACUAGAUUUUUUUCAUUGAUGCAACAAAACUUGUACUAGUCCUGCAAAGAUCUUAGAUAUGGAAACCCAUGAGCAUACCUUGAUGGUUUAAUAAUACCGCUCACAUCUUGGAGUAUCUUGACAACUCUUUUCUUUGACGGUGAGAGUCCAAUCAACCCAAUUAGUCCCUAUUCACAGAUAUAGAAAUUUAGAAACCUUAGAUUCACUAGCAGAAGCAAGAUUAAGAAGUGAGGUUUGGGAUUAAGAAACGCUGAAACAAUACCUCUAGUUGAUUCAAUGUGGAAUUUAGCAGAGUUGGAAGUGCUCGAGUGCCAACAUAUGCAUCUCCCUCUAUUGAUACAUUCUGGAAUCUAACUUCAACCUUAGGAACCUCAAUACCAACCCUGUUUCCAAAGUAAAACACAAAUUACAAGGUCAUCCAAAUCAAACAUGGUUAGCAAGAAACCAAAGGAAAAAUACAUCUUUAUAUCAUCUGCUUUUAUGUUUUAUUUUCAAAGAUUUAAACUUUGACCUCCCCGGAAGGCUAUAGUUGAUUGAAUCAUGCAGACAAUUAAGCAGUGAUUAUGUUUUCUCAAGCUCCAAACCAAACAAUUUCAGAUUGGAAAUUUUAGUUAUUUCCCUUUUCUCACAAUUUCAAAUCCAACUCUAAUUUUUCACUUCAUGCUUUUCUGAUCAACCAAACUAAAAACCGAAAUAGAGACAAACCUGUCAUUUCUGGCUCUGAGCCUCUGCAAGAACCUCUCAUUAUCCUCCUCAACAACCUUAAGUAUGCUCUCCAUCAACUGCUUCUUAUCCUGAGCUCCGAGGUUUGCAACAUCAACUUCUUCAGUUAUAACCCUCCCAUUGCUCAUGGCCUGUCUCAACAUCCCCCUCCUCAUCCUAUCAUAAGUGGGCAGCCUCUCUAUAGCUGCCCACCUGAGCUCCUCCUCCUCAUCCACCGCUUGCUGCCGCCCACUCCGCUGAAACACGUCGGGCGCGUUCCACAUUUCCCGAACACUCGUCGACCUCCAGCUCCGCCGGCUGCUAGACUGCCUUGCCAGAUCAUCUCCGGCUAAUGCCGCCGCCAUUUUUAAUUCCCAAAACCGAUCAAAUCACUCAAAACUCGAGAUUUCAACUGAUGGGUUUGAAAAACAAAGCCAAGUUAGGUGAACCCAAUUUCAGAAACCGGUUGAACUCUAUGUUCAAAGCAGCUUGGACUGCUCAAGUUGAAAAACCAAUCAAAUAUGCACCCAAAGAAUGAAUUUUUAAUUCUUGCCUUCUUAAAACUCUUCACACUUCUGCACUUGGUUUUUGGUGAAGAACGAGAAAAUGUGAAAAUAAGAGAGAAGAAAGAGAGAUAUUUUUGCCAUGGGUUUCAGGUCAGCCUUAUAUAGACCAACAAGACCAGCAGGACAAAGAAGAAAGUCUUCUGUGAGACACAGAGAGAGAGAGAGAGAGAGAGAGAGGAGAGAGACUCUUUCCAACUGUUUUUUGUUUUACUUUCUUAAUAUUUUUUAAGUCUUUUUUUUUUGGUGUUUUUAAGUUUUCCUGUGUGUUUGAUGGUCGUCGGUCAAACUGAGACUGCUUCUGUAUAUCUUCGUCCCGCGGACGGGUUCGGCGAAUCAGCGUGGAAAAAGAAGAACGUCAUAUAUAUUUUCUGACCGUAGGAUGAGGUUUAGCAUUUGAAUCUAACGGACUAUAAUGAGGGUGUACGGUGAAAGCUAUGUGUUCUUUCCUCCCUAAAUUUUGACCCCGGAAAAUUGUCCAGUGUUGUAUUUUGCUGACCAACUGUGGUUAGCGCCACACUCAAUAAUUCUGCUUCUCUUGGAAAAAAAAAUAACAUUAAAUUAAUACCAAAAAAAAUGCUGCAUAUUGUCUUUUUUCUGAAUUUAAUAAGAAAUGCUAUUUCUUGUCUUGGUGGAAAAAAGCUUGUAAAUUGGAUCCACGGGUGUUGAGCUCGUGGGAAUAUUCUUUUUGUGUUACUGUCAACCAACGGUGAGGUGGGGGUUGAAUUUAUCUUUUACUUAUUACAUGUGAUUGUUAGAAGACAUCAGAAUGGCUUCCAUUUCCAUCCAUAAUUGCAUGGCAGAUAACAAGAAUUCUACAUCUGAAUUAGAUUAAGUAUUUAAAUGGCAUUCCAUAUCAAGUUGCAGUUAUAUUAAGAUAUAUAAAUGGCUAUUCACUUGUGGCUGCUUAGGAUUUUAGGGGUAGAAGCUAAUCGGGUCUAACUUAAUGAAAAGGGGUCUUAAUAUAUAAAUUAGUAGUUUCAGGUUUAAAUUUUCAUGACACAUUUGUAGUGUGUGUGAGAAAUCCCCUUCCUUUUGUAGUUUAUAUUAUAGCUUAUAUUAAAUAAAUUUUUAAAAAUAAUUUCACGAGUAGAAUGCUAACCUACCUUGAUCUCUAGUUUAUACUAUAGCUUGUAUUAAAUAGAUCUCCCUUCGCUUGUUUUUUUUUUUGCCCCAGAUCAAUUUCAAUCCCUCUCACCUUAUGUUGCCUCUUUGUGUUGCGGCUUUGUCUUGGUGUUGUUUGGGUUCUUUUUGCAGAUAUGUGGGUUUUGUCUGCGUGGUUGUGGGUUUCCUCUCAACCUAGACUUCGACGGUGGUGUUCCUAUUUUUUGUGGUGGCGAUGGCAGUGACUCAACUUUCUAUCAUCUAGGUUGGUUUUGGAGUUUUUUGGAUUGUAAUAAUUACACCAACUCUUUGUGAGUUUGGUGUUCUAUUUGUAGUUGAGCCUCUACUUGUAUUUUUUUCUUUUUAGAGUUUAAAAGUUGUAGUUGUAUUGGAUAGUUUUGGACGCUGUGGUCCAUGUUUGAUUUGUUUUGGCUUGCGGCUUUCAUGUAGAAAUUUGUUAGGCUUUAUGCCACUAUUAGUGGAGAUAUAUCAUGUGGUGUAUUUAUAUGUAUCUGGAAUAACCUUGCAUGGUUAUUAUGCUUCCACAUUUGUAUUAACCUUUUUUGGGUAGUUUAUGCCCUUGUGGCUGAUGGCCUUGGUACCUAAGUUAUGAAUACAAUUAUCAUUUACUCUAAAAAAAUUAUAUCAACAUUUUAUUUCUCAAAAUAUUAUAUUAUAUUAUUUAAAUUAAUCUUAAAUUGUGCAUGUUUGGCUCUAUUUCAGUAAAAUGAGAAUGGAGUGAAAUGAGAAGAGUCAUGAAAUCACUUUCAUUUCAUUGUCUGGUUGAAAUUUGGGAUCAAGUUUCAAAUCAGACCUUUUACAUGACCUAACUUUUCUUUACUAGUCUCUUUCCCAAUGACCCAUGACUUUUAUAUUAUUUACUUUCUUUACCUACUUAUCACAAAGCAUAGGACAAGAAACUCAUUGUAGAUGAAUUAGAUGUUAUGUUUGGAAUAAGUUGCUGAGAUUUUUUAGGUCUUUUAUGUAAUUUUUAUCUCUCUUUUUGUGAGAGUUUUUGACCUCUUCUUUGUAAGAGCUUUCUACCUCCCCUUUACGAGAGUUUUAUUUGUAUUGUUAUAACUUGGUUUUUUCAAGCUUUAUCUAUUUUUUAUUAUUCUGAGUUUGCUCUCUUAGAGCAUCUCAAAGGGAGAUGUCAUAUACCGAACAUCAAAUUUAAAUUUGAUGAUUGAUGUGGCAAUUUGACAUCUUAUACAGCUUUACACUCCACCCGAUAUGUCAAAUUAAAUUAUUAUUUUGUUAUAUUUUAGUGUUGAUUUAUUUUUAAUUUAAAAUAAAAUAAAAUAAAAAAUAAAAAAAUAUUCAUUUGACAUCUUUCUUUUGGGAUGUCAAAAAUAACAUCUCAACCUCCGGCCUUCAUUCCACAUCAGCUUUGACACAUUGGUUGGAGUGAUGUGAGACGUUAUUUCUAGCCGUUAAAUAUCUAUGUGGCACUUUUGACACAUCGGUUGGAGAUGCUCUUAGUUGGGAUGCCUAUUCUAGAAUUUCCUCAAUUUGGGUGAUUGUUAGUAGAAGAACCCUAGAUUAUCUUAAUUUUGAUGUUAGAUCGCUCCAUUAUUGUAAUGGCCAUUUAUGGCUCGUAACUUUUUUGCUGAAUUAUGAAUAUGAUUCCAAAAUUUCUCAACAACAAAAAAUUUGAUUUAGAUGGAGAAAAAAACUUGGCUCCUUACUUAUCACAAGCCAAGCUCUUUAGAUGAAACAACUCGCUUUAAUUACUCGUAAAUUUUUUUAUCAAAGAACUAAAAGUUAAAUCAUUCGAACUCUUCUACUUUUUUCGGAUAAAAAUGUCUCGACGUUCGAGCCUUGCAUCGACCAUAUAAAUAUGUAUUCUCGACUCAUUAAUUGAUUAUUUCAAUAUAAAUAUAGAUGUUCGAUUAUUUAUUCUACCCAAAGUAUGCGCGUCAAAAAAGUUGAUGAAUUAUUAAAAUUAGUUAUUUUUGUACUCCCAUCUCUCUUCUAUGUGAUUGCACCACUUCACCUAACGAAAAAGCCAAGUAUUAACUACCUACUCUACACCAUUAAUUAGCUCACUUAUAAUGUUUAUUUUAGAGCAUCUCUAAAGCCCAGUAUGAAAGAGAUUUGACUUGUAGUCAAUUGUCUCGAGUUCAUAGUACUUUGGUAAUAUGUGUGAGAAACUCUCAUUUCCUUUCUCAAUUAUGGCAACAACAAAAAUUUGGUGGAUGAAAGACAAUCAUUUUUGACAUCUCAACUAAUAAGCCAAAUGCAGACAUGGAUUAAAGGUUGAGGUCUUAGCAUCAUGACAAUUAUUUAAUUUGAAAAUGAAUGUGAAGAACUCUAUGAUGAUAUUGAUAUAAGAAAAAAAAAACUGCGUUCCAACCCUAAACCUUAAGCAUAUUUAUGAAUCUGUAAUUGAAUUAGAAGGAAUUGAAUUGAGUAGGAGUUGAAUUGAGGAGAGUUAGAUUUCAAAUUCCUAUUGAAGUUGUUUAUUAAACCAUAUGAAAUUGGGGUAGGAGCGAUAAUAAUUAUUUAUAAGUUGUUUACUAAAUUCACGCAAAUUGGAAUUGAAACCAAAUUGACUACUAAAAUGCCCUUGUUGUUGGGUUAAAGUAAAUGAAAAUUUUAAAAUUUUUAAAAUUGUGUAAGAUUAUAAUGGGUUUUAAAAAAAAGAAAAAAGAAAAAGGAUUCCUAAUGGAACGUUCUCCAUGAAUUAGAAUACCACUUCCCACUCAAGAUUUCAAACACUCCAAAAUCAGGAACAACUCUUGAUUUUGUGUGAGUCCCACUCGCAUUUUGAUUUCUCAAUGUGAAGUAAACAUAGGAAUAUCCGUAAUAGAAAUUCAACUGUUUAUUUUAAUUUUGAUUAUGAAUUUGUAAACAUGUCAUAAAUGCUAACCGUAGAUGAAAAUGAUGAACUAAUAACAGUUUAAAAGUGACUUGACUCUAUGAUGAUAUUAAUCACGUGACAAAGUGGCAUUGAUAUUUGUUUUCAUUUUCUACCAAAAGUUCAAAUCAAAUCUGCUACAAUAUGAACACUGUCAAUUACCAAGUAAAAAAAAAAAAGUACACAAAAAGUCGCAGACACCGUUCAAUAAGCAUCAACUUUCUGAAAAACUGUAAUGGGAACACAAGUGUGCGUGCUCCGUAACACCUUUCCAAUUGUUUGAAGGGAGAUUUUGGAAAAGCCCAAAGGAGAGAGAAAAUUUUUAAAAGAAGCAAAAAUGGACAAAAUUGCCCUUAUUUAUUUUUUGAUUUCCUAAGAAAUCCUUUACAUUUGCAUGUCUUUGGUUUGAAAGUUGAGAGGUUAUUCCGUCUUUUUUCAAAAAGCUUUGGCUUUUUCCAAAAGUGAAAAUUUUUUUAUGAGUAAAACCUAAAUUUACUUUGUUUGUUUGAAUGAAUCAACGUACGGUUGGCAGAUAUAAUUUUCAACGCCUUCUAGAAACAAAAAAACAAACUGAGCUGGCAAAAGAAGAAGUUACGUAGAUUUUGCAAUUUCACAGACAGCUACCCGAGACUGGCCAAUUUGUGGGGUCCCUUUUCGUAAUAUUAAACUGGAAGAAAAAGGGAAUUAAUCCAAGGCGGCUGCUGAAUGGGUGAAAAUAAGCUUGUAUCGAAUUAUUUGUGGGUCCCAAUCCAAACCCUUCUUAUCCAUGGACGAUUCAUCAACUUGGAUUUUUUUUAGGAGGAAUUAAUUCGAGUUGCUCUCUAUUUGUCUUGGUGCAGGAUUUUCCUGCUUGCUUCGCUUUCAAGCUGCAAGUUGGUGCUUUUUAACGUCUUCUCCAUUCAAUUUGAUGGGGGCAUGCAUAUGCAUGGGGUUGUGAUUGUGUUCAUAUGGAUAAAGUCUGCCCAACUCCAACGCUCUAGAUGAUUGUAACACCCCACAUUUAGUCACAUUCUAAUUUAUAGUAUCCUGUUCAUGAAAAUCUUUGAGAAAUUAUAGGUAACAUACACGAACACCCAAACGUGAAUUCAAGGCAAAUUAGGGGGCACUUUCAAUUAACCUAGUCACAAUCAUAUUAGAAUUGACAAUUUGAGUUAGCUUAUCACAUUCACGUCAUGUCAUUUCAUAUUUAUAUUGAAAAUUAUUUAAGUAUUCCUCAACUUUUUAAUUUCGUCAAUAACUAACUCAACGAGUUUAUGAUUUAUGUUAUAUUCAAGCUGAUAGACAUAUUUUUAAAACUACAAACUUUUAAAAGCAAAUUCCUCAUAUUUGUGUAAUGGAAAUAGUCGUACCACAUAUAUUGAAAAAUAAGAUAAAUAAGUCAUUUUCUAAGUCUUUUUUAUUCAUGAUUAUACUAUUUUUUUUUUGUCAAAAAUGUUUGUCUCAUAUAGUAACUCAAACCCACUAAAUUCUCAAGCCACCUAGGAAAUUGUCAUCCUUAAUUUACACUCUACGUAUACAAGAAUGCAAAGAAAAUCUUAAACAUGAUUAAAAGGUCCACUCCUUUUUUAGGUAUAAAGCGACAGAUAUUCGGACUAAAAGCAUCAAAGUUUUAUUGCUAAAAAAAUAUUCAGUCCAUGAUUGAAAUUUGUUAAAAGAUGGUUGGCUCCUGCAAAUGGAUCGAUAGGAGGAAGAAGAAACUGGGCCCUUAUGGCGGAAAGGAAAGUUUUGAAUAUUAAUACUAGUUUGAAUUAUUCCAAUUCUGUAAUAAUAAAAAUAAUUCAAGUUGGUUUAUAAGUAAUACUAAAUUUUAACUUUGACUGAUUCAACACAUGUCAAUGGGGUCAUAUAACUUGAUUUUUUUUAUUUAAUAUAAGCGAUAUUAAGAAGGAGAAUCGAACCUAGAACAUCUGUUGCACGAAUAAAUACUAUUAAUAACUUGUGAUACAAACUCCUUUAUUAAUUUAAUUUUUUUUAUAAUUUCUUCAUAAUGCCGACAAUCUUCACCACCACAAUACCGCACAUGGCCUAAUCUAAAAGAAAUGAGUUACAAUAGGGCAUGAAUAAAAUAAUGGUCACCUAACUAUCUUGAAAGAAACAAUGCAGGCACAAUUAUUUAUCAGUCUCUAUAUGUAUUUUAUUUUAUAAUUAAACGAAUUUAAAUUACGCAUACAUUAAGCGUGGAUAACAAUGCUUAACAGCUAAUUCAUGACCUUUGUUUAAAGUAUUCUCGAGAUUCUAUUCCCUUAUGACAAAUUGGUAACAAGCGUGGGUAAUAAAAAAAGUUUAUAUGAGAGAUGUCUCUUGGACAUUAACUUCAAAUUAAGGCUUGAAUUCCUUGAAAAUUACCUUAUUAUACCACUUGAGUUAAGUGGGGCCCUGAUAGACGAAAUGCAUAUAAUGGGAAAUCCAAAACUUGAUGAAGGGAGCGUUUCAUUUCGAAGUUAGCAUUUUGUUAUGGGGGGAAGACAUCCAAGAUUAGAAGAGCAAAGAAACUCUUCAAUAAUUUAUGACAAGCUUUAGCUUUGAUCUCCGCCAACAACCUGAAAUCAAGACUUUCUCUCUUCUUCUUCUUCUUCUUCAACACCUCUAACCCUAAUGAGACAUGCUCUCUCUUGAGUAUGAGUUCCUUUUCUUUUUCUUUUUUCUGCAUGCAACUAGUUUCCUCUAUCUCUAAAUUAUAGCCUCUGCAAUUCGAUACUUUCGAAGCUUUUACUGACUUGAUCGUUGGAGAGUCUUUGAGAAACACCAAAAUGAUACCCGCUUACUUUGAAAGUCUUUUUCUUUGGGCCAAACAUACUUUUCAACUGAACUGUAGGAAGUUUGCGUCCGUGGAAAAAGACUACCCCUACUACUAUACAUAUUCAUGAUGCUCCAAGUCCAAGCCUCCAGCCAUCAUUUCCCUUCUAAAGCCAAGGUAGAGACGAAUCCCGGCACGUGGGAAGACCCCACACAUGUGGAAAAGUAGACAAGAUACCAUCUCUCAUGAUUUGCAUCCGAAUAAUGCUAAACAUAUAUUUUUUUAACUCUCUAACAUAGAAUGAGAUGUACAUACGUCUUAUAUGAUUUCAUACUCUCUCAUAUUAUGUGAGAGAGUUAAAACAAGAGUUGGAAGAAUAGUCAGUGUAGUGCGUCCAAUAUUAUCAUUUAAAUUUCUCGAGAUCUUUGAUCUUUCCACUUAGAUAUCUCAAAGUGAUCUUGACAUAGAAAAAUCUUCUUAUUGCCUAUGAGAUACAAGCAGAAAGUGUUAGAAGAUGAUGAUGUGAUCUGGAAACAUAUCCAACUUCGACUGGUCAGCACCAACUAGCUAUAUAUAGUCAACUGAUAUUUCUCCUCUCCACUUCAAUAUUGUAAGACGUUUGAACAUUCUGCUCCAGUGAGAGUGAGCUAGCAGAGGAAUAAAAAGGAUAGUUGCUUCAUACCGGCACCUCAUUCAUAUGAGUAUGACCUUUUAAAAUAAUAUAUAUAUAUAUAUAUAUUUUAAUUCAAAUUUCAAUCAUUGAUAAACUUUGAUUAAUUUCUAAUAUAUAUUUGGUCUGGCUAAGGAACCCUCCUUGGAAGCUUCUUAUAGGAGGAGGAUGCUUUUAAGUUUUAACGCCAAGUUUGACCAGAAAUUUGGGUCCCUGCAAUUGAGCAGAAAUGAAAGCAAGGAAUCGACCAAUGGGACACGUUUCAUAUAUCUAGAAGGUCUCACCUUUGACUUGCGGAUUUUGUACGCAUCAUUAGGCUCUCCCCUAAUUUAUUAUUGGUUAAGUUGACACAAAAAGCCAUUGGGAAGCAUCAAUUUACAAGAAUCUUUAAGUUGUUAACGCAGAAAAGACAUGGGAAAGCCUCAAUAUACAGAAUCUUCAGGCCGAUGCACGGUCAAACUGUCACAUAGUGUUAUAAAUUUAUUAACGUCAGAUAAUGCUAUUAGCUAUAAAUUAAUAACACUAUAUAACAACAUGACCGUACAUAAUAAGCUAAAAUUUUUCGUUCUUCCAAAUUAAUGAGUGAACUAUCUAGUUUGUUACCACCCUAGAAAAUCUGCCACUCCUAGUGUAGAGAUUAACCGGGCAUUUGAGGGCACUCCCCCCCAGUUGUUGUUGUAAAAUAGUCAAAAGCUAGAGCUAAAUUAAAAGGGCAAAGCCAAAAGAUCUUGACAUGGACACAUUCGAGAAAGCUAGAAAGAAAAAUGAGUAAAUGAAAUGGAGCAAAUGAAGUAAGAUGGCAUAGGUCAUGCUAAAGGAGAUUUCCCUGUCCAUAAUUCUUGGAGACUUGGAGUUACCCUGAUGACGGUCCACCAAGGGAACAUCUCAUGCACAUGGAAGACUAUUUUUAUUUUUAUUUUUUAUUUUUUGGGAAAACUACCAAUAAUGUCUCAAUAUACUGACUUUUGUACCUGAAGUUGCAUUCAAACCACUAGUUUAACUUUGAUGAUGGAUACAGUAGAGGUCAUUUUAGAUAUCAAAUUUGUUUAUUUAGUUUUAAUUUUUUGGUAUUAAUAAAAUUUAAGGGGGAAAACCUUGAAUUUUUUUUAUUUUUUUUUUGGUUGUAGAAUUCAAGAUUUAGUUAUAUUAUAAAAUAUUUAGAUAUUCCAAGAUAAAGAUUAAGCUAUACAAGUAGGCCCUUAUUAUAAGUUGGUUUUGUAUUAGCGGCGUAUUAAUGGAUAAUAAGAAUUAGGUUUACUAUAAUUAUCUUUCUUCGUCUCUUCUUUCAACCUCUAUUGAGUCCAAGUAUCUACUCUUCCCCUUCUUUCUCCUCUUCAGGAUGAACAGUCCCUAUCUCCCUUUUAUCAGCAUCAUAGCCUACUCCUCCCUUUUAAUGAUUUGGCUAGUGAUAAGUCUCACACUCACAGUCAAUGCUCUAAUUAGGAUAAAUAUCGAGGUAAAGUCUACAUUAAGAAUUGUUUAAGGACUUUUAAUAUCAAACAUUAAAUAUCAUAUAUAGUCUGUUAAAAAAUAUAUUUAAUUCACUAACAUAUCUACUUGAUUAGUGAGAUUAAUUAGAAUUUUACCAAGUAGUUUUUAAUAAAGGAAAAUACUUUCCUCCUUAUUAUGAAAGUAGGAGCUCCUACGUUUCUGCCAAUAAAAGUGUGAUAUGCAUUUUUAAUGAAUUAUUUUUGCAUAUAUGUCAAACUGUGAUUCGCAUAAAAGAAAAGUAUCUUCUUAUAGAGAAGGAAGCAAAGCAGUAUCCUUUAAUAAAAAUCUUUAAUUUUUUUAAGCUAUAGUUUUCUAUGCAAAACAUAUAAUAAAUCCAUAUAUAUAUAUAUACAAGCAACACGCAUUCAAUUCAUUUGGACAGCUCUCCAAGUGUUUUACCCUGUCACCAUAGCAGUGCCCACUGGCCAAUUGCAGGAUAUUUAUCUUCUAUUGUGUCUUUGUCAGGUUUUCUUUGUACUCAAAUAAAUUUAAGUUUGUUAGGACAUUAAUUAUUAUAAUGUGGUAGCAUUUUCCUAUUUUAUAUUAGGGUCAUGCUAGGGAGACCAACUUUAGAUACCAACUUGUGUACCAACUCUCUAAUAGAGGUGGAGCCCACCAAUACAAUGGGUCCUACACUCUAUUAGAGAGUUGGUACACAAGUUGGUAUCUAAAGUUGGUCUCCCUAGCAUUUUCCUUUAUAUUAUAAUUGAACACAAAGUUUCAGGUUUUGAUUCUUUCAAUUUUGCUUUGUCCCUAGAGUUGGCCCAAAAACCCUAUUUGCCAACUGCAUGUAAUAAAAACCCUAAAACACUUUGGUCCCUUGACCUCUUAGCUUCAUGUAACAUGUAUUAUGUACCACACGUUUUAAAUAGGCAUGCUUCACAAAGCACCGUCAAUGUUGACUGUGACAGAAUGUCAUGAGGCAAACACAUUCUGGGGCAUGCCAACCAUGACUCAUAGUAGUAAAUUAUAUAUAUAUAUAUAUAUAUCACGCCCAACAUGCACAAUAAUUUGUUUGGAAUUGUGAAUCAAAUACAGAUGUUGUAUUUUUCUUUUUUAAAAGUCGACAAAUGAUUUAAUUAAGUGGUAUAAAUUGUACCGAGGUCUUUUGAGAAGAAUUUCUAUAUGUGGAUGGGCUCGGAGGCUAUAUCACACCAUGACGAAUUUAUGUGGUUAAAUUGGGGAGAAUGUUGGUUUAAGUUACAUGGCUGGGUAGGUCUUUAUUGAUUUAUCUAGUUUUGCAUUUGUAGGAUUUUCCUCCCUUUGCCUGAUGGCAUUGUUGACAACUAAAGUGAUAACAACUAAAGAUUUUUGUGGUCUGAAAAUGACAACUAAAUAUGAUUUUUCAAAUAUUUGUACGAGGUAAAGGCACUAAUAAUGAUUGGAUCCUGCUUAAGCCCAAAUGUGGGAAUAUUUUGAAUCCAGCGACCCAAAUGUGGUAAGAUAUUGAUUUCCUGAGCACAAUACCAGGAUCGGGAGGGAAAUGUGAGAAGAAAAGCAUUGCAUCUUUCCUUCCAAAUCUCCCAACAUAUAAUGCUAACAGAUGCCAACACUUCCUUUCGCACAUGAUUAUGAAUUGAAUAAUUGGAGCUCAGGGCCAAAAGCCAAACAUCGAACUUGGAGAUUCUCUGUAUCUCCGGUUCGUAGCUCAGAGGUGCGCCAAACCACACACCCUUCACCUGCGGACAAAGAAAUAAAAUAUGCUCCAUAGAUUCCUCAUGUAGUUCACAGAAAGGACAUAGAGGAUUGCAACUAACUUUCCUCCUAUAUAAAUUAAAUUUGGUAGGGAUGGCAUUUGACACUACCCUCCCUUGCUUUGGAACCACAUCAAUUUUCCAAAUUGUAUUCCACACAUGAGUAUCAAUCUGGUGAGAAGAAUGGGCAGGAAGGGAGUUUUUUCCCAAGCUCGAGAAAGCCCAAUAAUAACACACGAGCCCAAAAAGCAUCCGGAUUAUUCCAGAGUCUCCAGCACUGCUUUGUGAGGACGGCUAAAUUGAAAGUCUCAAUGUCCCUGAAGCCCAUACCUCCAUCACUCUUGGAAAGGCAAAGAUGCUCCCAACUUCUCCAAUAAAUCUUGUUCCGUCCGUCAUCAUGCGAUCCCCACCAAAAUCUACUAAGAUCCCCAUUAAUAGCUUUGCAAGUGGAGGAGGGAAAUUUGAAACAAGACAUAAGAUAAGCAGGUAUCGCAAGAGCCACAUAUUUGAUUAGAACUUCCCUACCAGCCAUGGUCAAAGAACUGGCUUUCCAACCAUGCCAUGUACCAUCUUCUGAAUUUUGUCGCAAAUAUACCCUAGAGCCUCCUUUUUUGAUCUGCCCCGAAUUGCUGGGAUCCCAAGGUAAACUCCAGGAUCGGUGGUUGGGUUGAUCCGAAAAGCUACCCCAAUUUCAGCUCCUAACUCGGGGGAAGCAUUAGGAGACAAAUAGAUGGAGGAUUUGCUGUAAUUCACCUGUAUCAAGCAAGUUCAGGAAACUUCUGCAGUUCUGGCUAGUGGCUCUCAAAAAGACUAGAGGGUCAUCUGCAAUAAAUAAGUGGGAUAGAGUUGGGGCUCCCUACUCAAUUUAAUUCCCUGUAAUGUUCGAAUCUCAGAUAGUUUGUUCUAUCAGCAUUUCUAUUCUUUCAAUAGUAGGGUUUGAUCUUUAAAUGAAAUGAUUCAACUGGAACUGAUGAAUCAAAACAUCUAUUUGAUAAAAUUCGUGGACAUUUUUCACUAUCAGUGAUGAUAAAGUGCAGGAUGAGAGACAAAAAACAAACAUCCAUAUUUGAACAAGCAUGAGGUGAAACCACAUAUGAGAGGAUAACGACGUUUUGAAUGAGCUGCUGAAGCGUUCAAUGAAAAGGGUGCAGUAUUUAUAACCAAGCAGAAAAUUCCAUUAACAACAAUUUCAAACGAAAAGUUUCAGAUUUCAAAAAAAGUACAGAAUCUGCUACUAAGCAAUUAUUAGGGCAAACAAACACAAAAAAAUCAAGAGCACCACUUGAGACU
rnacentral:lncRNA from 1 species